rnacentral:rRNA from 1 species
UACGUAGGGGGCAAGCGUUGUCCGGAUUUAUUGGGCGUAAAGAGCGUGUAGGCGGCCGUACAGGUCAGCUGUGAAGACUCGAGGCUCAACCUCGAGACGUCGGUUGAAACCGUACGGCUAGAGUCCGGAAGAGGAGAGUGGAAUUCCCGGUGUAGCGGUGAAAUGCGCAGAUAUCGGGAAGAACACCCGUGGCGAAGGCGGCUCUCUGGGACGGUACUGACGCUGAGACGCGAAAGCGUGGGGAGCGAACAGG